ensembl:lncRNA
UUUACUCACCCUUUACUCCAGGUUUACUCACCCUUUACUCUGGGCUUAGGCACACCUUACUCUGGGUUUUACUCAGCCUUUACUCCAAGUUUGCUCAACCUCUACUCAGGUUUUACUCACCCUCUAUUCCAGGUUUUAACACACUUUACUCUGUGUUUUACUCCCCCUUUACUCCAGGUUUACUCACCCUUUACUCCAGGUUUACUCAACCUUUACUCUGGGUUUAGUCACAGCUUACUCUGGGUUUUACUCACUCUUUACUCCAGGUUUUACACACACUUUCCUCCGGGUUUUACUCACUUUUUUCUCUUGUUUUACUCAGCCUUUACUCCAGGUUUGCUCCACCUCUACUCAGCUUUUACACACCCUUUAUUCCAGGUUUACACACACUGUACUCUGGGUUUACUCACAUCUCACUCCGGAUUUUACUCACACUUUACUCCAGGUUUUACUCACCCUUUACUCCAGGUUUACUCCACCUUCACUCAGGUUUUACACACCCUUUAUUCCAGGUUUACACACACUUUACUCCGGGUUUUACUCAAGCUUUACUCCAGGUUUACUCACCCUUUACUCUGGGUUUAAUCUCACCUCACUCCGGGUUUUACUCACCCUUUACUCCGGGUUUUACUCCCCCUUUACUCCAGGUUUACUCAACCUUUACUCAGCUUUUACACACCCUUUAUUCCAGGUUUACACACACUUUACUCUUGGUUUGGAUGCACCUCACUCCGGGUUUUACUCAGCCUUUACUCCGGGUUUACUCACCCUUUACUCUGGGUUUAAUCGCACCUCACUCCGGGUUUUACUCACCCUAUACUCCAGGUUUAGUCACCCUUUACUCCGGGUUUUACUCACACUUUACUCCAGGUUUACUCAACCUUCACUCAGCUUUUACACGCACUUUAUUCCAGGUUUACACGCACUUUACUCUGGGUUUACUCACACCUUACUCCGGAUUUCACUCACCCUUUACUCCGGGUUUACUCAAUCUCUACUCCGGGUUUUACUCCCCCUUUACUCCAGGUUUACUCACCCUUUACUCCGGUUUUACACACCCUUUAUUCCACGUCUACACACCCUUUACUCUGGGUUUAGGCACACCUUACUCCGGGUUACACUCAGCCUUUACUCUGGGUUUACUCAGCCUUUACUCUGGGUUUACUCAGCCUUUACUCUGGGCUUAGGCACACUUUACUCUGGGUUUUACUCAGCCUUUACUCCGGGUUUGCUCAACCUCUACUCAGGUUUUACUCACCCUUUAUUCCAGGUUUACACACACUUUACUCCGGGUUUUACCCACCCUAUACUCCAGGUUUACUCAGCCUUUACUCUGGGUUUAGGCACACCUCACUCCAGGUUUUACUCAGCCUUUACUUCAGGUUUACUCCACCUUCACUCAGGUUUUAACACACUUUAUUCCAGGUUUACACACCCUUUACUCCGGGUUUUACUCACCCUAUACU